rnacentral:rRNA from 1 species
UACGGAGGGGGCAAGCGUUAUUCGGAAUUAUUGGGCGUAAAGGGCGCGUAGGCGGCUAGAUGUGUCAAAGGUGAAAUCCCUCGGCUCAACUGAGGAACUGCCUUUGAAACUGUCUGGCUUGAGGCCGGGAGAGGGUAGCGGAAUUCCCAGUGUAGCGGUGAAAUGCGUAGAUAUCGGGAGGAACACCAGUGGCGAAGGCGGUUGCCUGGGGCUUUGCUGACGCUGAUGCGCGAAAGCGUGGGGAGCGAUCCGG